GACGAACGCUGGCGGCGUGCUUAACACAUGCAAGUCGAACGGAAAGGCCCUGCUUUUGUGGGGUGCUCGAGUGGCGAACGGGUGAGUAACACGUGAGUAACCUGCCCUUGACUUUGGGAUAACUUCAGGAAACUGGGGCUAAUACCGGAUAGGAGCUCCUGCUGCAUGGUGGGGGUUGGAAAGUUUCGGCGGUUGGGGAUGGACUCGCGGCUUAUCAGCUUGUUGGUGGGGUAGUGGCUUACCAAGGCUUUGACGGGUAGCCGGCCUGAGAGGGUGACCGGCCACAAUGGGACUGGGAUACGGCCCAGACUCCUACGGGGGGGAGCAGGGGGGAAUAUUGGACAAUGGGCGGAAGCCUGAUGCAGCAACGCCGCGUGCGGGAAGACGGCCUUCGGGUUGUAAACCGCUUUCGCCUGUGACGAAGCGGGAGUGACGGUAAUGGGUAAAGAAGCAACGGCUAACUACGUG
rnacentral:rRNA from 1 species